rnacentral:misc_RNA from 1 species
AAGUCGUAACAAGGUUUCCGUAGGUGAACCUGCGGAAGGAUCAUUAACGAGUAAAAAGUCGCUCGACCGUGCUGGCCGAAACGCAUGUGCACGUCGGUCGCAAAACCUCAUCCACACACCUGUGAAUCUAUGGCCUUCGGGUCUCUGACCCGGGGGCAACCUUUUUUACCCACCCUGUUCGUAAAGGAAUGUCAUAGUGUGAUAAACACAAAUGAAACAACUUUCAACAACGGAUCUCUUGGCUCUC